rnacentral:rRNA from 1 species
ACUCAAAGGAAUUGACGGGGGCCCGCACAAGCAGCGGAGCGUGUGGUUUAAUUCGAGGCUACGCGAAGAACCUUACCUGGGUUUGACAUGCGUCUGGUAGCGACCUGAAAGGGGAGCGACCGCAAGGAGGACGCACAGGUGCUGCAUGGCUGUCGUCAGCUCGUGUCGUGAGAUGUUCGGUUAAGUCCGAAAACGAGCGCAACCCUCGGCGUUAGUUACAAGUGUCUAGCGCGACUGCCCUCGAGAAGGGGGAGGAAGGUGGGGAUGACGUCAAGUCAGCAUGGCCUUGAUGCUCAGGGCUACACACACGCUACAAUGGGCGGCACAAUGGGAAGCGAAGUGGGGACACGGAGCCAAUCUCUGAAAGCCGUUCGUAGUUCGGAUUGCAGGCUGCAACCCGCCUGCAUGAAGCUGGAGUUGCUAGUAACCGCGCAUCAGCCACGGCGCGGUGAAUACGUUCCCGGGCCUUGUACACACCGCCCGU